GGCUGGUCUGAUGGUAGUGUAUUAUCAGAACUUAUUAACAUUGGUGUCACUAAAGUUAAUAUACAACCCCCAACUGCUAAAUUUGACUGGCUUAAA
ensembl:misc_RNA Y_RNA Y RNA